AUGAUUUCCAGAGAUGACACAAGUUUUGACUGUGUUAAAACCAUUUCAACACUUGAGGGGAUGGAAGCUCUUGCUUUGAAGUUUCUCCUGGAAAGACCAAUUCAAUUUGCACAGAUUUUCCUGAAGAAGUAUUUCAAAAGAGAGGAUGAACAAAUGGAAAAUCAAAUGAAAGAGAUUGAAGAAAUGUUCCAGAACCUUCCCAAAGACCAGGACAUGCAGAAGAUUGUGAUUAACAAAGCCUUUCUGUACCUUCAACAUCUGGUGCAGAGCAACCAUGGGAAGCCGGUGAAGAGAUGGGAUUAACGUGGGCAAAAGAAUGACGCAUGAUGCCGAGCUCUUUUACUCCAUAUUCUCA